GACGAACGCUGGCGGCGUGCCUAAUACAUGCAAGUCGAGCGAAGUUUUUCUGGUGCUUGCACUAGAAAAACUUAGCGGCGAACGGGUGAGUAACACGUAAAGAACCUGCCUCAUAGACGGGGACAACUAUUGGAAACGAUAGCUAAUACCGGAUAACAGCAUAAAUCGCAUGAUAUAUGUUUAAAAGUUGGUUUCGGCUAACACUAUGAGAUGGCUUUGCGGUGCAUUAGCUAGUUGGUGGGGUAAAGGCCUACCAAGGCGACGAUGCAUAGCCGACCUGAGAGGGUGAUCGGCCACACUGGGACUGAGACACGGCCCAGACUCCUACGGGAGGCAGCAGUAGGGAAUCUUCCGCAAUGGGCGAAAGCCUGACGGAGCAACGCCGCGUGAGUGAAGAAGGGUUUCGGUUCGUAAAGCUCUGUUGUUAGGGAAGAAUGAUUGUAUAGUAACUAUAUACAGUAGAGACGGUACCUAACCAGAAAGCCACGGCUAACUACGUGCCAGCAGCCGCGGUAAUACGUAGGUGGCAAGCGUUGUCCGGAAUUAUUGGGCGUAAAGCGCGCGCAGGUGGUUUAAUAAGUCUGAUGUGAAAGCCCACGGCUCACCCGUGGAAGGGUCAUUGGAAACUGUUAAACUUGAGUGCAGGAGAGAAAAGUGGAAUUCCUAGUGUAGCGGUGAAAUGCGUAGAGAUUAGGAGGACACCAGUGGCGAAGGCGGCUUUUUUGGCCUGUACUGACACUGAGGCGCGAAAGCGGGGGAGCAAACAGGAUAGAUACCCUGGUAGUCCAAGGGCGAUUCACAGUGGAUAUCAGCUUAUCGAUACCGUCGACUCGAGGGGGGGCUCGUUACCAAGUUUAUGUUCACAUUAGGAGGGUUUAAUAUG
rnacentral:rRNA from 1 species